rnacentral:rRNA from 1 species
CCCUUAGAUGUUCUGGGCCGCACACGCGCUACACUGAAGGAGGCAGCGUGUACUCCUGGAUCGAAAGAUUUGGGUAACCCGCGAAUCUCCUUCGUGCUAGGGAUUGAGGUUUGCAAUUAUCCUUCAUGAACGAGGAAUUCCCAGUAAGUGCAAGUCAUAAGCUUGCGCUGACUACGUCCCUGCCCUUUGUACGCACCGCCCGUCGCUACUACCGAUUGAAUGAUUUAGUGAGGAUUUCGGACUGGGACUGAUGCGGCUUUCGGGCUGCGUCGGUAUUCUGGAAAGAUGUCCAAACUGUAUCAUUUAGAGGAAGUAAAANUCGUANCA